rnacentral:rRNA from 1 species
UACGUAGGGGGCAAGCGUUGUCCGGAAUCAUUGGGCGUAAAGCGCGCGUAGGCGGCCCGGUAAGUCCGCUGUAAAAGUCCAGGGCUCAACCUUGGGCUUGCAGUGGGUACGGGCAGACUAGAGUGCGGUAGGGGUGACUGGAAUUCCUGGUGUAGCGGUGGAAUGCGCAGAUAUCAGGAGGAACACCGAUGGCGAAGGCAGGUCACUGGGCCGCAACUGACGCUGAGGAGCGAAAGCAUGGGGAGCGAACAGG